rnacentral:rRNA from 1 species
GGUAGCAUAAUCAUUAGUCUUUUAAUUGGAGACUGGUAUGAAUGGCUAAACGAGAAAUCUUCUUUUUUUAUUAUAAAUAUCGAAUUUAUUUUUUUAGUGAAAAAACUAAAAUAUUCCUGAAAGACGAGAAGACCCUAUAGAGUUUUAUAUAGUAAACUAUCAUAUUGUAUUAGAUCUGAUUCGAUUUGAUUUUAUUCUGUAAUUUGUUGGGGCGACAUUAAGAUAAAAAAAACUCUUUUUUAUAAAACUUUGAUAAAUGAAUAACUUGAUCCUUUAAAAAAGAUAAUAAGAAUAAAAUUACCUUAGGGAUAACAGCGUAAUCUUUUUUGAGAGUUCUAAUCGACAAAA